CCUUACCUUCCUUGCUCUUUCUUACCUUUGCAUUGUUUACCCUUCCCCCGCCUCAUCCAAGCAGACCCUUACUCCUUCCGCUUCCCCUUACAGAUAGUAAGUGAUCUGAGCCACGUCUCACUUGUCUUCCUCGCAAUUAGCUGUACCAUCUUCAGCUGAAAUUCCCGCUUCAUUAUUCUCAGUCUCCGUCCAAGUUUCAGACUUUCUCACUCCGUAAGAAGAAGAAGGAAAGGAAAAAUAGAAAUCCCAGAUUACCCCAUUUGCUUCUAACUAAUCCUUAUUUCUAAUGAUAAUUUGAUCAGAUCCAAAAUGGGACACCUUAAUCUGCCUGCAUCAAAGCGAAACCCUAGGCAAUGGAAGCUGCUCGACCUCGUUUCUGCUGCAUUCUUCGGCUUAGUCUUUCUUUUCUUCCUUCUCGUCUUUACUCCUCUCGGUGAUUCUCUCGCCGCCUCUGGCCGCCAGGCUCUCCUUCUUUCUACAUCGGAUCCGCGUCAGCGCCUCCGCCUUGUCGAGCUUAUUGAGGCCGGCCACCAUCCUCAGCCAAUUGAGGCGUGCUCUGCUGACUCUGUUGAUCAUAUGCCUUGUGAGGAUCCCAGGCGCAAUCGCCAGCUCAGUAGAGAAAUGAAUUUCUAUCGAGAGCGUCACUGUCCGCUUCUAGUUGAGACCCCUUUCUGCUUGAUCCCACCCCCGAAUGGAUACAAGAUUCCGGUUCAGUGGCCCCAGAGUUUGCAUAAGGUACGGCUUUGUGUUUAAUUCGAUAUUUCGUUGUUGAGGAACACACAGAAAAAAAAAAGAGAGAGUUUUUGAUCUUCAACUAGCAGAGAACGAGACAUUACUAGCCUGCUACCUAUUUACGAGAUUAUGCUCGGGAUCUUAAAACCAAUUUCAUAUUUGCCCUUACUCCUUCCUGCGACGAUCUGUACUUGGCCUACUGAUCAUCUUAGCGAGCUCCUGGCUAGGUUUCUGGGAUAUUAACUAUAAUGUCCACUUCUGUCGAUAUAACAUGCCAACAUGCCCUUGACAUGGUUUCAUUACUCAAUAUGCAGAUAUGGCAUGCCAACAUGCCAUACAACAAAAUUGCGGACAGGAAGGGUCAUCAGGGAUGGAUGAAAGAGGAAGGCGAGUACUUCGUCUUCCCUGGUGGUGGUACAAUGUUUCCAGAGGGAGCCAUACCAUACAUUGAAAAACUUGGACAGUAUAUCCCUAUAAGUGGUGGAGUUUUGAGAACUGCCCUUGACGUGGGAUGUGGGGUUGCUAGUUUUGGAGGAUAUAUGCUAAGGGAAGGAAUUUUGACCCUCUCAUUUGCUCCUAGAGAUUCACACAAAGCACAAAUACAAUUUGCACUGGAAAGAGGAAUUCCAGCAUUUGUUGCCAUGCUUGGCACUCGCAGACUCCCAUUUCCUGCUUUCUCAUUUGACUUGGUCCACUGCUCUCGAUGUUUGAUCCCGUUUACAGCCUAUAAUGCAACUUAUUUCAUGGAAGUGGAUCGAUUACUUCGCCCUGGAGGAUAUCUAGUCAUCUCUGGUCCCCCCGUUCAGUGGGCUAAACAAGAUAAGGAAUGGGCAGAUCUCCAAGGUGUGGCAAGAGCAUUAUGUUAUGAGCUGAUUGCUGUGGAUGGAAACACCGUUGUCUGGAAAAAACCUGCUGGAGAUUCAUGCCUGCCCAACCAAAAUGAAUUUGGGCUUGAACUAUGCGAUGAAACAGAUGACCCAAGUUAUGCCUGGUACUUCAAAUUAGAGAAAUGUGUGAGUAGGACAUCUUCUGUCAAUGCGGAAUAUGCUGUUGGGACAAUUCCUAAGUGGCCAGAUAGGGUAACAAAAGCUCCUUCAAGAACCAUGCUCUUGAAAAAUGGGAUUGAUUUGUUUGAAGCUGACACACGACGUUGGGUGAGGAGGUUGGCAUACUACAGGAACUCGUUGAAUGUGAAACUAGGAACUCAAGCCAUGCGCAAUGUCAUGGACAUGAAUGCAUUUUUUGGGGGUUUUGCUGCAGCACUUGCAUCUGAUCCUGUAUGGGUAAUGAAUGUUGUUCCUGCUGGCAAGCUUUCUACGCUUGGUGUAAUUUUUGACCGAGGCCUUAUUGGAGUCUACCAUGAUUGGUGAGUUAUUAUUGCUUUUAUUUUGAAAAAAAUUGCAUUGAACAGGAACUUAUAUGUUCAUAUUAUUAAUGAUUUCAUGUUUGUUAACUUUCCAAUUUAACAAGUGCUGAUAACCAAGAGAUUGGGGUUGCACUUUGUCAGUUAGUUAAAAAGGUUUAUUAUCUGAGCUGUUGCCUAGGCUACUCAUGCAGCAUCUUCCUAAUCUGUGCUAUCCUUUUAAUUGGUUAAACUGGAACCUUCUUUCUAUCAAAAUGAUCAUUACUACUAUCUAUACUCCCCAAAAUUAUGCACCACAAAUAAGAAUUGGUCAAUAAUUAUUAACCUGUAUCCAAGUGUUUCAAUGUGCUCAUUUAUCGAUGUCUUAAAGUUCAUAUCUCCUUUGAUAUGAAAGAAUAGUUUUAAUUAGUCUGGUCAAUAUGAUAUGUAGUUAUCUGCCUAUAGAAUCUGUUAAACAAAGUGAAUUUUUCCUUGCAAUUAUACCUAGUUAUUUAAUGCACCAAAUCUUAUUGAUUUUAAUUAUGGUGGCUUCAUGGGCAACGCUGUUGAUUAGAUUUAUCAUUGGUGGCCAUAGGUGUGAGCCUUUCUCAACAUAUCCUCGUACUUAUGAUCUCAUCCAUGUGGCUGGCAUUGAAUCGCUGAUAAAAAGUCCGGGUUCAAGCAAGAACAGGUGAUAUGAAUCUACAUGCUCUGCAGUUUGUUUAUUUUAUUAUUAUUUUGUUUAUUCUUUUUUUUUUUAAUUUAUAUGGAGAAAGUUUUCUAUUUCUCUUAAGAUUUAGAUUUUUAUUUUAUUUUAUUAUAUGGUGUUUAUGUCUCGGGUAAUUGAUAAUUGAUUGAAAUUCUUUCUAUUACCAACAUUGGUUUGCUUUUCAUUUUCAUUAGUCUCUACGAAAGAUGAUCCUUUAUUGUUGCAGUUUCAAUAAGAAACAUUUAUAUUCCACUUACAUCCAGGGAAAGGAAAAUAGUUUUCUGAAGUAUAAUCUGUCUUGACAGCAUCAUAUAUUUAUGCUUUAUUUAGCCGAUUGAACUGCAUUAAUUACCAGAAAUUGAGUUAUGCAAAAGGUGAUCUGUACAAUAAAAUAUUCCCAUUGUGGAAUAAGAAUAAUUUCCAACAUAUGUAUAAUCUCCAUUACAUGACAGAGAUAGGAAAAUAAUCAAAAUGAUGAAAUAGACCGUUGGUCUGUGAUUACCUAGGGUGCAUAAGCUAUGUUUUCAGUAUCAAUGCUAUGAUUUUGGUAGCAUUUUUAGAAUUCCCUUUGAGAAUAACUUUGAUAACUGUUUGAUAGAGUUUUGGUUUGAGCCUGGAAAUCUUACCACUGGUUUUUUUGUCUUAUCCUGUAGGUCUAGGUUUAUUAGUAUGAUUAAAGUACUAAAUCCCUCUGAAAUUGGCACAAUAUACACUUUUGACAUUGUAGUUUCAAAUUUAAUUUCUUUGGCCCCUACAAUUUGUUAAAGGCUUUACAUUUUUAGUCAUCAAUCAAAUUUUUUGCCCCCUUUUUUUUUGGGAUUUUGUGGUGUU
rnacentral:misc_RNA from 1 species